GAUGAACGCUGGCGGCGUGCCUAAUACAUGCAAGUCGAGCGAACAGACGAGGAGCUUGCUCCUCUGAUGUUAGCGGCGGACGGGUGAGUAACACGUGGAUAACCUACCUAUAAGACUGGGAUAACUUCGGGAAACCGGAGCUAAUACCGGAUAACAUGUUGAACCGCAUGGUUCAACAGUGAAAGACGGUCUUGCUGUCACUUAUAGAUGGAUCCGCGCCGCAUUAGCUAGUUGGUAAGGUAACGGCUUACCAAGGCAACGAUGCGUAGCCGACCUGAGAGGGUGAUCGGCCACACUGGAACUGAGACACGGUCCAGACUCCUACGGGAGGCAGCAGUAGGGAAUCUUCCGCAAUGGGCGAAAGCCUGACGGAGCAACGCCGCGUGAGUGAAGAAGGUCUUCGGUUCGUAAAACUCUGUUAUUAGGGAAGAACAAAUGUGUAAGUAACUAUGCACGUCUUGACGGUACCUAAUCAGAAAGCCACGGCUAACUACGUG
rnacentral:rRNA from 1 species